UACAGAGGGGGCCAGCGUUAUUCGGAAUUAUUGGGCGUAAAGGGCGCGUAGGCGGCCAUGCGUGUCUUCCGUGAAAUCCCUCGGCUUAACUGAGGACGUGCGGAAGAAACUGCAAGGCUCGAGUCCGGGAGAGGAGGGUGGAAUUCCCAGUGUAGCGGUGAAAUGCGUAGAUAUUGGGAGGAACACCGGUGGCGAAGGCGGCCCUCUGAACCGGUACUGACGCUGAUGCGCGAAAGCGUGGGUAGCAAACGGG
rnacentral:rRNA from 1 species